rnacentral:misc_RNA from 1 species
AAGUCGUAACAAGGUUUCCGUAGGUGAACCUGCGGAAGGAUCAUUAACACGUACCUUUGGUACAAACAAACCGGAGAACGCGUAUAUGCCUCCCUGUCUAUACCUUUGGCGCCCCAUGAGCGGUGGUAAUGGCUCAUGGCCCGCACGGGAUAACCUGGCGAAAGCCUUCGAUUCCCACGUUGGUAUUCAGGCUGUUUUCAUUACUCGUAUUCAUUUACGAUCUCACCAUCUCAAAAUUGCCUGAUUUUUCUUUGCGUUAGUUUGGCAGCAAUGCCCUCGCAAACAACCUAAUAUAACCUAGCACAACUCUUAGCAAUGGAUAUCUAGGUUCUC